ACUCGAACUGGAUAGAAUCAAGCUGCUGAUCAUUUCAACUGGACCACAUUUCGACGAUUCCGGUUGGUUUUUUUGGAGUUGGACGUUGCAGAUUUCUACAAGGUCGCUUAAAUCGGUACCAUGCGACCCGUAGAAGCUGGUGUGACCAAGCGGCAACUUCUAAAGGUUCUGAUGCAACUUCUUACGAUGCGUUCAACUAGGCAAUCAAUCAAUGGAAACAGUGUUCUGGGUGAACUCAUUCAAGUAAGGCGCCCUCGAUGUAUUGCAGCAACACCUGAGGACCGUCGCACGAUGCUACUUGGAACUUGAGGCCUAGGUGUUGACAGUAAGGUGAUUAGGCCAGGCUACCAGGUACAGUAGCUUCGCCAAGAACUCCGUAGGAUAGUGGAACCCGUGCCUAUGGGGUGCUUAUGAUGAUGGACGAAAUAAAA